UGCUAACGAGGCCUCGUUACGUGAUCUCCAACAACGUUGUCCGGCCAGUGUAA
rnacentral:misc_RNA from 1 species